GAGCGGUAACAGGUGUAGCAAUACAUGCUGACGAGCGGCGAACGGGUGAGUAAUGCUUCGGAAUCUACCCAAUGGUGGGGAAUAACCAGCCGAAAGGUUGGCUAAUACCGCAUACGUCCUACGGGAGAAAGCAGGGGAUCGUAAGACCUUGCGCCAAUGGAUGAGCCGAAGUCGGAUUAGCUAGUUGGUAGGGUAACGGCCUACCAAGGCGACGAUCCGUAGCUGGUCUGAGAGGACGACCAGCCACACUGGGACUGAGACACGGCCCAGACUCCUACGGGAGGCAGCAGUGGGGAAUAUUGGACAAUGGGGGAAACCCUGAUCCAGCGACGCCGCGUGUGUGAAGAAGGCCUGCGGGUUGUAAAGCACUUUUAGUGGGGAUGAAAUGUGCAGGGCUAAUACCCUUGUACUUUGACCUAACCCACAGAAAAAGCACCGGCUAACUCUGUG
rnacentral:rRNA from 1 species